rnacentral:lncRNA from 12 species
GGAUGGCUAAAGGCAAAGGAGAUGGAACAGCUUUCCACUGGAUGGAACAACAUUCCACUGGAUGCCUGAGUUUGGCUCAAGGCGACCAUGAACAAACACUAUGAUGUCUCCCAGCAAACCCUUGACCUCCAGAGGCUCUGCUUUGACCCAGGCCAAGCACACAAUCCCAGAGGAGGACCUCACCCAGGCUGGUGCAGGACCCUGAGAACGUAUCCCUGACAAGAAACCCUUGAGUGUGGUCAUCUUCAUCCUCAGCAUCUUUGUUGUGUUUUUCUUCUAGUCUGAGUAGAUCCCUGUGAUUGAGCAGGUGGUUGCUUGAGGCUGGGAAGCCAAUAUUUAACUGAUACUAAUCCACCCAAAGGGCACCGUAGUUCUGUUUAUUUGUCUCACUCAGAAUCCCUGAUUCUUUUUUUUUUUUUUUUUUAGAUUUUAUUUUUAAGUAAUCUCUACACCCAACACAGGGCUGGAACUCACAACCUUGAGAUCAAGAGUCAUGUGCUCUACAGACUGAGCCAGCCAGGGUCCCCCUGAUUCUUCUGAUAAUAAAGAAUGACAUUGCAUGUUGUGUCA